rnacentral:lncRNA from 1 species
CCUACUUAUUGGCCAUUUAGUAGACAGCUGGCCUAGCCAUAAAUAAUAGCUUAAGCCUAACUUUAACAUUUGGGUUUUUUGCUUGUUUUACAUGAGUGCGCAAAAAACACAGCUACUGCAUUUCUUCCAGUUUGGUGAACUGGGUAGUUAGGUACUUACCGGUUCUUUUUUCUGGGUGGCAUGCAUCAUAUUACCGCAAGGUGUGACCGGAGUGGAUGCUGGGUCACAUGAGACUAGUCGGAGGCAAAGUGGCCUAACCGGGCACCGCCAUAUCACUGGAUGCCGCAACACCGUAGGAAGAAUAAUCAUUGAACACUGGGAAGGGCAGAAUCUGAUUAGUCAGAUGUGGGCACGUCUCUUUAAACAAUUGCCGGACUCUCUUGAAAACUUCAAGAUUCAAUUAUCACAUGUCCGAGACUGUACACACAG